CCUACGGGAGGCAGCAGUGAGGAAUAUUGGUCAAUGGACGGAAGUCUGAACCAGCCAUGCCGCGUGCAGGAAGACGGCUCUAUGAGUUGUAAACUGCUUUUGUACAAGGGUAAACAUGAGUACGUGUAUUCAGCUGAAAGUACUGUACGAAUAAGGAUCGGCUAACUGCGUGCCAGCAGCCGCGGUAAUACGGAGGAUCCAAGCGUUAUCCGGAUUUAUUGGGUUUAAAGGGUGCGUAGGCGGAUUGAUAAGUUAGAGGUGAAAUCUCCGGGCUUAACUCGGGAACUGCCUGUAAUACUGUUGCUCUAGAGCGUUGAUGCGGUAGGCGGAAUGUAUGGUGUAGCGGUGAAAUGCUUAGAGAUCAUGCAGAACACCGAUUGCGAAGGCAGCUUACCAAUCUAUAUCUGACGUUGAGGCACGAAAGCGUGGGGAGCAAACAGGAUUAGAUACCCCAGUAGUC
rnacentral:rRNA from 1 species